ACUCUUUUUGUUGCUUGCCUCUAAGAUCCCACACCUUUUAGAGCUUGGUAUCAAUGCAGUGGAGUUGCUGCCAAUCUUUGAGUUUGAUGAGAUGGAAUUGCAGAGACGUCCAAAUCCCAGAGAUCACAUGAUUAAUACGUGGGGUUAUUCAAGAGUCUGGUUCAUAAUGCUUGCACAUGACAUCAUAGGCCAACUUAAUUAUCUAAUAAAAAAUUGAAAUAAACAUUACAUUGCUGAAGUUCCAAGAUUGACCUCGUCAAAUGCUAGUGGUUCUAUGGAAAAGUAUCCUGUAUCAGCAGACGAAAAGCCAAGUCUUGAACUUGUUAUUCAAACAUGGAAAUCACUUUAUGGUUCUCUUAGUGCAGGCUUUGGAUGUUCAACAACCACCAAUUUCUCAGGGGAUCUGUGCAAAUUGAUAAAUAGGUGGCUUGAUGAAAAUGUCAGCAUGUUAGGGAGUAGCACUGCUUUCAAGUUAACAUACAAUGAUAUAGAUCUUGGUGUUCUUCAUCUAUCUGGCAACUUCUUGAUAUGCAUUCUUGAACAGAUUCAGACUUUGGAAUUAGUUUCAGAAACCAGCAGAAGUAAAUCUGAAUGUGAUAGCAAAAUACUCUACAGUAUAAAGAACUGCCUAACCUUUGCUUCCAAGUAAGUUAGAACAUGUCUUGUUAGGAUAUGAUAUGCUUUGUUUGAUACCUGAUCUCUCUGUCUCUUUCUCUGAUUGUGUGAGACUGUGACUAUUUUUUUCAUACUCUUGUGUGAAAUAAAGUUUAAUGGUAGAAUUCCCUCUUCAGCAUGAAUAUACUUUUUUCAAUAGCCUGAUAACAGCGACAAUUUUCUCAUCCUACAUUGAGUUGGAGAUGUGAAAAGCAAUUUCAUUGCCAUUUCAAAUUUCAAUUAAUUCACUUA